AUGCUUAGGUACAAUUUGGAGGAUCAGCUCACGGUCAUCUACACGGAUGAGGAGUCCUACUGGCGCUUGCGAGGUACGCAGAAUUGGAUCCUCAAUGGGGGUGCCAAUACCGCUUACUUCCAAGCCAUUGCCAACGGACGCCGUCGCCGGAACUCCAUUCCGCUUCUCUGGGACGGCGAGAACCUCCUGCAAAGGACGGAAGACAUCCGGUCUCAUGUUGACAGCCUUUACAGAGACCUAUUCUCUGCCUCUCCGCAGGGAGGUCUUGCCCUGGCGCAAGACAUCUGG
rnacentral:rRNA from 1 species